ensembl:lncRNA
AUCUCUAAUACAUAAGUGACAGCAGCCUGUGACAGGAACCUGUGAAAUUCGUGGCGCUAAGCUGUGAGUCAUUUGGCCCAGGACCUGAUGGGUAGAGAGGGCCCAGUAAACAGUGGCUAUUAGGUAUUGGGAAGUAUUAGAAAGAGAAGGGGAAAAAAACAGUAAUCGUUAUAGGAGCAGGUACUAUGAGCCACACAAUAUUCUCUGCCCUUGAUGGGGCUGACCUUCUAGUAGGAGACAGAUGGACCAUAAAUUAAUACCCCAAAUAUACAUGUCAAAUGGUGAGAGCGCUGAAAAGAAAGCACAGCAGGGUAAGGGGACAGGGAGUGGCCCGUUGAGAGUUGCUAUUUCCCUGGGUACGGAGGGUGACGCUGACAGAGUAAGUCAGGUACAUGCUUAGAGGAAGAGCACCCAGGCACCAGGAGCAGUGCCUAUAAAGACCCCAGAGGCAGGAGGAUCCUCAGAAUGUUUUGGAAACAGCCAGGAGGCUGGUUAUCUAACCCCCAUGACUGCCCUGAGAGCUAGGUGUAAUUGUCUCUAUCCCCUGGAGGAGAAUCUGGCAGGGCCAGGAUCCGACCCUCCACAGCCAGGUGUCCAGAUCCGACUCUCCUCAGAGCUCCCAUGGGGAGUGGCAGAAAGGGAGAAAAGCACAGGUGUCUGAGUCCAAGCUCUGAUUCUUCCAGGGACUGGUCAUGUGAUCUCAGACCAGCUGCAUCUCCUUGUAGGGCCUCAAUGUCCUUGUCACUCAUGGGCUAGACUUGUCUAUUUCAUCCACUUCGCAGAUGAUGUGCCCAAAAGGAAGGGGAGGAGAAAGUAUGGUGCUGGGAGGUGACCUUGAGCUUCUCUGGCAUCUCAGGCCAAAGUUCCUCCCCAGGCAAGUGUGAAUGUCAGGUGCAGACCCUGUCCCCUGAACCACCCAGAGCAACGACCUGCCUGACCCCCAAGAGCUCACAUCCUGCCUAUGCCUGCCUGGGCCUUGUCCCACUCAGCACCCAGAGCCCAGCCACAGCCACAGCCUCUGUCCUGCACUCUGGUUCUGGGUGUCAGACAUGCCCCUCACCCCAGGGCCCAGCCCAGGACCGGCUCCUUGUGUUCCUGACCAGGUGGAGGGUCCAUGAUUGGCUUUUGUCACCAAGGGUGCCAAAGCGGGCCAGCCCUCACGGGCACCCGGCCAGAUCCCGGGGCCCAGCCAAGUGCAAACAGCACGCUUGGCGCCCUGAUACGGGCGCGUUAGAGCAGGCAGGCUGCCCACUGCCCCCGUCACAACAAACCAUCAUCUCCGCCCCCCUGAGGGGCCCAGGCAGCCGGCACCUCUGCUGGGAGCUGGGGACUAGGGACUGCCAGGGGAGGCCUCCUCCCCCUCUCCCACUGGGAAUGGGUAGUGGGAAUUUCAGAGCCUGGACAUGGAGAUUCCAGAUGCCAGCAGCUGAAAGGGCAGAUACGCAGACAGGCUGCAGGGAGCACGUGGGAAAAUGACAGGGGCAGAGGAGGUGGAUGAAGGCAAGUCACGGAGUUUUUAACAUUAUGGGUGGGGUCAGGCAAAGGGAGAGUGAGAGGCUGCCGAGAAGAAAGCAGGAAGGGCCCAACAGAGAGAGGAGCAGCAAGAAGAACCAAUGAGAGCCGGAACGGUUCAAUAUGGGACAGGGGACCAGCGAUAAUGACCACAGCAACUCCUUCCAGCAAUACCCAGCAAUUAACAUAAACAGCACUUCCGACAGAACUUUCUGGUGCAAUGGAAAUGUUGCAUGCCUGCACUCAUCCAGUAAGAUACUACUGAGCACCUCAAAUACAGCUAGUGCCACCAAGAAACUGAAUUUUUUGCUGGGCAUGGUGGCUCACACCUAUAAUCCCAGCACUUUGGGAGGCCGAGGUGGGCAGAUCACCUGAGGUCAGGAGUUCAAGAUCAGCCUGGCCAACAUGGUAAAACCACAUCUCUACUAAAAAUAAAAUUAGCUGGGCAUGGUGGCGGGCGCCUGUAAUCUCAGCUACUAGGGAGGCUGAGGCAGGAGAAUUGCUUGAACCCAGGAGGCAGAGGUUGCAGUGAGCUGAGAUCACACCACUGCACGCCAGCCUGGGUGACAGAGCAAGGCUACAUCUCAAAAAAGAAAAGAAAAAAAAAAA